UCCCUGAUAGCUCAGUUGGUAAAGAAUCUGCCUGCAAAGCAGGAGACCCUGGUUCAAUUUCAACCCAGGGAC
rnacentral:tRNA from 1 species